GAACUUAAGCAUAUCAAUAAGCGGAGGAAAAGAAACCAACAGGGAUUGCCUCAGUAACGGCGAGUGAAGCGGCAACAGCUCAAAUUUGAAAUCUGGCCGCAAGGUCCGAGUUGUAAUUUGUAGAGGAUGCUUUUGGCGAGGUGCCUUCCGAGUUCCCUGGAACGGGACGCCAUAGAGGGUGAGAGCCCCGUACGGUAGGACCACCAAGCCUCUGUAAAGCUCCUUCGACGAGUCGAGUAGUUUGGGAAUGCUGCUCUAAAUGGGAGGUGUACGUCUUCUAAAGCUAAAUACCGGCCAGAGACCGAUAGCGCACAAGUAGAGUGAUCGAAAGAUGAAAAGCACUUUGAAAAGAGGGUUAAAAAGUACGUGAAAUUGUUGAAAGGGAAGCAUUCAUGACCAGACUUGGGCUUGGUUGAACAUCCGGCGUUCUCGCCGGUGCACUCUGCCAGUCCAGGCCAGCAUCAGUUUGCCCCGGGGGAUAAAGGCGGCGGGAAUGUGGCUCCCUUCGGGGAGUGUUAUAGCCCGUCGUGUAAUGCCCUGGGGCGGACUGAGGAACGCGCUUCGGCACGGAUGCUGGCGUAAUGGUCAUCAAUGACCCGUCUUGAAACAUGGACCAAGGAGUCGUCUUCGUAUGCGAGUGUUCGGGUGUCAAACCCCUACGCGUAAUGAAAGUGAACGUAGGUGAGAGCUUCGGCGCAUCACCGACCGAUCCUGAUGUUCUCGGAUGGAUUUGAGUAAGAGCAUACGGGGCCGGACCCGAAA
rnacentral:rRNA from 1 species